GAGUGGCGGGGAGAGAGAGAGAAGAUCGAACCGUUUUCUCCGCGGAGAGGUUUGGCCCUGGCUCUGCCUCUCUGUGAGACUUUAUAAAAUUUUAAGACUCUGGAUGAUGGUACUCUCCUCCAAAGAAGAAUUCACCUUCUGGCAGUGAGAUACACUUCAGGCAUAUCGCCUUUAUCCAGGGCUCUGAGGGUGCCCUGUUUUAAAUCGCCUAUCUGUCAUCCUGGAGCCCAGACGUGCUGCCUGCCUUGCCCUCAGCUGCCUGAUGUCCCAGCCCUCCUGGACUCUUUCUUAGCCACUGCUCUGACGUCCACAUACUUGGAGUGCUUCCUGUCCUCCUGGUAAACCUUGAGAUAUCCCGCCUCCAGCCGGUCACAGCCCUGGGGUGACUGUGGAUCUGGCUUCUGCUACCUGUUCAGAAAUGAGAAACGCUAUGGGACAGAUUAGGUAAGAAGUGCUACCAGCGAAAGACGGGCCAGAAAUGAAGAUGAAGCAUCUCUGAAAUGGUCAAGGAGGUUGCUAGGAGUAUUGACUCGAUUUACAAAACUUCUGUUUACAAAACUUCUGUUUACUCACGACUUUCCCAGUAGGAGAAAGGCAGGAUGCCUGUAGUGAUAGCCAACUGCAGCAUCCCUAGAGACGCAUGUCCACGGAGUCAUCCGGAAAAACACACUGGGGACAAGGGGCUUUUCAGAGGAGACAGUGCUGGAGCUUGGCGGUACCCACACUGGAUUGUCUGGUUUUCCUCCAGCAGCAUUUGGUCCCGAGGCUGCCCCGCGGCAGAGGAGUGGGGGCAGGGAGAGCCGAGACACCAAAGCUUGAAGGGCAGCUGAAUAGGAAGCAGCUUACAGCAUGUGGGCUCAAUUUUCCUCAAAAAGCUCAUAAUAUAACUGUCAAAAAUGGCACUAUGAACCCCAAUUGUAAGGUAAUUAUGUUCAGUCCCAAAUUCAACACAAUAAACGUUAUUUGCUCGCAAGCCCUAGCAACCAUCUCAUAAGGGGGAGAAAAAUACUGUACAAAAAACAAAAUGUAAACUCACAAGGCAGUAAUAAAACAGGCACACAACUAUUCAUUUCAAGUCUAUUUUGAAAAGCCUUUGAUAAUACCAGUAAUUCCCCAUAAAGCUCAUAGUCUCCUGCCACAGUUCCCUGCUGGAGAUAGAAAAAGGUUUUGCUGUUCUACAGUCAUUCCAUUUAAGGAGAUAAAGUCCACUUUCUUUCCCAAUUUUAAAUGUUUUUCAUUCUUAAAAAAAAGUUAAAUCCCUAACCACCUCUAUCCAGCUAAGCCUACCACCUAGGCAGGGCUCAGGGGCAGUAUCCAUGUGACUACUUCUUGUUUUGCACAACAAAAUUCAUUCAGUGGUCUUAACAAGGUGCUUAAAUGGAGUCCAAGAGCCUUGUCCACAAGGUACUGAAACGUUCCCCAAAAGGUAGAAAAUUCAACCAACCGUCUGCCCAUUUCUAAAUAUUCUGAUGCUUCUGAGCACGCAGGCCAGGUGGUCUCCCUUUUACAUCCUGGCUGACACGAGGGAGGCUGAGCAACUCCUCUGGGCACCGCUGGCAGGUGUACCUACAACAGAGGAAGGAAGGGGUAGGGGCUUGAGAUACACCUUUGGUUGUAAGAACAGAAACCUACUUAGACAAGUAAGAGGGUGAUGGUUAUAUCCUCUCAUGGACCCUGAGGAAAAGCUGAGCAGUCGGGCCUUGGGGAGAGCGGGAACCAGCAGCAAUUUUGGUGGGGGAGUGAAGUGGCAGGGAAAGGACAGGCAGGGCCGUGUACAGGGACAGAGGCCCCUAGAAGGGACUGGGCAUGUGGGUAAUUAGUCCCUUUAAUACAGGAAGACAGAAAGGAAAAGAAAGAAGAACAGAAGGUGGGGGAUGAAGUAAAAUAAUAGGAACCAAAGUGAAAAGGAAGAUAAGCAUAAACUGAGGAGUGAAGAAAUGUCAUCAACAAAAGUUUCAGCCAGCAGUCAGCAGCUCCCUGGUGCUGAAGGUCAGCCCGUCCCCUUCAAUCAAUCAACUAAAGCUUAGACUCUGCCUACUGUCCGAGCCCCUUCAUGGACAUGCAUGUACCCACAGCUUAAGAGUCCCCUAAUUUUGUUGUUUGGAGAGACACUUCUUUGGGAAACAACCCCAGUGUUCUUAUUUGCUGCAAGUAAUAAUAAACCCUUCAUUCUCCCGGGGCGGGGGUGGGGGGAUCAGCUGUCCCUAAUGUAGAACCAGCCUGUGUAGUACUGCAAAUACAAAGCCCUUCUAAUUUACCCACGUUGGUCAUUCUGAUUUACAUGAUUUAUAUUCUGAUUUUACGGACUAACUGUAAAGAGAGAAAGUUGUAUUCAUUGAAAGGAUGUGUAUGAUCUCGAAGAAGUCCACGUACUUUUCACGCUUCAGUUUUAAAAACUUGGCUUAUACAUACAAUAAACGUAAUCCGUAAUUGUAUUGGGGGCACACUGAUGUUUCUUGCUACAACUGAUGUGAACAUCAGUUUACUUCACUAGGUUUAUCUUUACAUACAUGGCAUCAAUUCUUUGUCCCAAGGUGUAUGCCCUAAACUUUAAUAAAUCGUUGUUUCAA